AUACCAGCUCUCCGAGUGGUGUGGAUGUUUAUUGGGCCUAAAGCAUCCGUAGCUGGCUAGGUAAGUCCCUUGUUAAAUCCACCGAAUUAAUCGUUGGAUCGCGGGGGAUACUGCUUGGCUAGGGGACGAGAGAGGCAGACGGUAUUUUCGGGGUAGGGGUGAAAUCCUAUAAUCCCGGGAAGACCACCAGUGGCGAAGGCUGUCUGCUAGAACGCGCCCGACGGUGAGGGAUGAAAGCUGGGGGAGC
rnacentral:rRNA from 1 species